rnacentral:misc_RNA from 1 species
UCUCCUUUCCCUCCUCCUCCCUGAGUAGAGUGAGCACCGUGGACAGAGCUCAGAUGAAAACCCAGGGAGUGAAACUCAUCGUGGCCCCCCGGGGUCCCUCAGAAACUCCACCUGGGCCUUCAACACUGCAUAGACUUGGAGAGCCAGCCAAAGUAUCAGAGGAAACAAAACAAAUGGGAGCUGGCCCAGACGUGAAGAGCGCCUACUGCUCUUCAGAGGAUCCACAUUCGCAAAAACCUUAAGGUACCAAUUCCAGGGGAUCUGAUGACCUCUACUGAUGUCCAUAGGCACCAGUCACCCAUGUGAUGAACAGAGUGAAAAUCCUGGGGAACAUUCAAGCUGCAUGCAAACUGCAACACAGAACAGUUGUGUUCCUGUGGACCACUGAAGAACAGUUUGAGUAAAAUUUAACCAAGGAGGGGCUUGGGAACAGGAACCUGGUGAGGUGCUGCACAGCAUGUUAGAUUCACCCUGGCCAAGGUACCACCAGACACCAGCGUUCUUGGCUGUCUCUGGGGUGGGCAGACUGCCAUCUAACUGCUGCAGGUCUCCAUGGUCCACUGUGCAGCUGUGGAAGCCACAGUCCUCCUCACAGCUUAGGUCUGUCUGUCUCUUGCAUUUGUGAGUUGUGGGCAUGAAAGAACUGCUUAGGAAGGAGAGAGACCCUCAAGUCCCCGUGUUUCUCGAGACAUUCCUAGUAAGCCUGCAAUUAAAGCCACCAUGCUGUGGCAUCUCAGAAAAUGGAAUUUGCAUAAUUUGAAAUUUGAGGAAAAUCUCUAAAUACUUUAAUUUUGAUAGAAACCAUUUCCACGGCUGACAUGUGUCUACACCUAUAAUUUCAGCUGAUAAAUUGCUGUAAUUUCUCCUCC